rnacentral:lncRNA from 1 species
AAUUUGAUUCUGAAGAAAAUAGAGAUAAAAAAUAGUGGUUCUUUGAUACUUUUAAUAAGAAGGAGCGAAACAUUAUUAAAGACCUAUGGUUUAAACAAAUAAAAAUUAAAGAAAGACAUAUCUUCUUCUUUGAUUGGUUUAAAAACUACUUUGAGGAUAUCAGAUCUAGUCUACAAGUUGCUAUGGUCAAAACUAUUUCU